AUGGAGAGAUAUAGGGAGCAAAAGAAGGACUUGCAUAUGGUGUUCAUUGACUUGGAGAAGGCCUAUGAUAAGAUACCGCGGAAUGUCAUGUGGUGGGCCUUGGAGAAACACAAAGUCCCAGCAAAGUACAUUACCCUCAUCAAGGACAUGUACGAGAAUGUUGUGACAAGUGUUCGAACAAGUGAUGUCGACACUGAUGACUUCCCGAUUAAGAUAGGACUGCAUCAGGGGUCAGCUUUGAGACCUUACCUUUUUGCAUUGGUGAUGGAUGAGGUCACAAGGGAUAUACAAGGAGAUAUCCCAUGGUGUAUGCUCUUUGCAGAUGAUGUGGUUCUAGUUGACGAUAGUCGGACAGGGGUAAAUAGGAAGUUAGAUUUAUGGAGACAAACCUUGGAAUCGAAAGGGUUUAGGCUUAGUAGAACUAAAACCGAGUACAUGAUGUGCGGUUUCAGUACUACUAGCUGUGAGGAGGAGGAAGUUAGCCUUGAUGGCCAGGUGGUUCCACAGAAGGACACCUUUUGGUAUUUGGGGUCAAUGCUGCAGGGGGAUGAGGGUAUUGAUGAAGAUGUGAACCAUCGAAUCAAAGCCGGAUGGAUGAAGUGGCGCCAAGCUUCUGGCAUUCUCUGUGACAAGAGAGUGCCACAAAAGCUAAAAGGCAAGUUCUACAGGACGGCGGUUCGACCCGCAAUGUUGUAUGGCGCGGAGUGUUGGCCGACUAAAAGGCGACAUGUUCAACAGUUAGGUGUGGCGGAGAUGCGUAUGUUGAGAUGGAUGUGUGGCCACACGAGGAAGGAUCGAGUCCGGAAUGAUGAUAUACGAGAUAGAGUUGGGGUAGCACCAAUUGAGGAGAAGCUUGUCCAACAUCGUUUGAGAUGGUUUGGGCAUAUUCAGCGCAGGCCUCCAGAAGCUCCAGUGCAUAGCGGAUGGCUAAAGCGUGCGGAGAAUGUCAAGAGAGAGCGGGGU
rnacentral:rRNA from 1 species